GAUGAACGCUGGCGGCGUGCCUAAUACAUGCAAGUCGAGCGAACAGACGAGGAGCUUGCUCCUCUGACGUUAGCGGCGGACGGGUGAGUAACACGUGGAUAACCUACCUAUCAGACUGGGAUCACUUCGGGAAACCGGAGCUAAUACCGGAUAAUAUAUUGAACCGCAUGGUUCAAUAGUGAAAGACGGUUUUGCUGUCACUUAUAGAUGGAUCCGCGCCGCAUUAGCUAGUUGGUAAGGUAACGGCUUACCAAGGCGACGAUGCGUAGCCGACCUGAGAGGGUGAUCGGCCGCACUGGAACUGAGACACGGUCCAGGCUCCUACGGGAGGCAGCAGUAGGGAAUCUUCCGCAAUGGGCGAAAGCCUGACGGAGCAACGCCGCGUGAGUGAUGAAGGUCUUCGGAUCGUAAAACUCUGUUAUUAGGGAAGAACAAAUGUGUAAGUAACUAUGCACGUCUUGACGGUACCUAAUCAGAAAGCCACGGCUAACUACGUG
rnacentral:rRNA from 1 species